rnacentral:piRNA from 1 species
UCCUAUCUAGCCCAGUGUUCUGUCUCUGAA